UGGGGAAUAUUGGACAAUGGGCGCAAGCCUGAUCCAGCCAUGCCGCGUGCGUGAUGAAGGCCCUAGGGUUGUAAAGCUCUUUCACCGGUGAAGAUAAUGACGGUAACCGGAUAAGAAGCCCCGGCUAACUUCGUGCCAGCAGCCGCGGUAAUACGAAGGGGGCUAGCGUUGUUCGGAUUUACUGGGCGUAAAGCGCACGUAGGCGGACUAUUAAGUCAGGGGUGAAAUCCCGGGGCUCAACCCCGGAACUGCCUUUGAUACUGGUAGUCUUGAGUUCGAGAGAGGUGAGUGGAAUUCCGAGUGUAGAGGUGAAAUUCGUAGAUAUUCGGAGGAACACCAGUGGCGAAGGCGGCUCACUGGCUCGAUACUGACGCUGAGGUGCGAAAGCGUGGGGAGCAAACAGG
rnacentral:rRNA from 1 species